rnacentral:rRNA from 1 species
GGGUUGUGAGGUUAAGCGACUAAGCGUACACGGUGGAUGCCCUGGCAGUCAGAGGCGAUGAAGGACGUGCUAAUCUGCGAAAAGCGUCGGUAAGGUGAUAUGAACCGUUACAGCCGGCGAUGUCCGAAUGGGGAAACCCAGUGCAAUUCGUUGCACUAUCGUUAACUGAAUACAUAGGUUAACGAGGCGAACCGGGGGAACUGAAACAUCUAAGUACCCCGAGGAAAAGAAAUCAACCGAGAUUCCCCCAGUAGCGGCGAGCGAACGGGGAGCAGCCCAGAGUCUGAAUCAGCUUGUGUGUUAGUGGAACGGUCUGGAAAGUCCGACGGUACAGGGUGAUAGUCCCGUACACCAAAAUGCACAGGUUGUGAACUCGAAGAGUAGGGCGGGACACGUGGUAUCCUGUCUGAAUAUGGGGGGACCAUCCUCCAAGGCUAAAUACUCCUGACUGACCGAUAGUGAACCAGUACCGUGAGGGAAAGGCGAAAAGAACCCCGGCGAGGGGAGUGAAAAAGAACCUGAAACCGUGUACGUACAAGCAGUGGGAGCACCUUUAUGGUGUGACUGCGUACCUUUUGUAUAAUGGGUCAGCGACUUAUAUUCUGUAGCAAGGUUAACCGUAUAGGGGAGCCGCAGGGAAACCGAGUCUUAACUGGGCGUUAAGUUGCAGGGUAUAGACCCGAAACCCGGUGAUCUAGCCAUGGGCAGGUUGAAGGUUGGGUAACACUAACUGGAGGACCGAACCGACUAAUGUUGAAAAAUUAGCGGAUGACUUGUGGCUGGGGGUGAAAGGCCAAUCAAACCGGGAGAUAGCUGGUUCUCCCCGAAAGCUAUUUAGGUAGCGCCUCGUGAACUCAUCUUCGGGGGUAGAGCACUGUUUCGGCUAGGGGGUCAUCCCGACUUACCAACCCGAUGCAAACUACGAAUACCGAAGAAUGUUAUCACGGGAGACACACGGCGGGUGCUAACGUCCGUCGUGAAGAGGGAAACAACCCAGACCGCCAGCUAAGGUCCCAAAGUCAUGGUUAAGUGGGAAACGAUGUGGGAAGGCACAGACAGCCAGGAUGUUGGCUUAGAAGCAGCCAUCAUUUAAAGAAAGCGUAAUAGCUCACUGGUCGAGUCGGCCUGCGCGGAAGAUGUAACGGGGCUAAACCAUGCACCGAAGCUGCGGCAGCGACGCUUAUGCGUUGUUGGGUAGGGGAGCGUUCUGUAAGCCUGCGAAGGUGGCCUGUGAGGGCUGCUGGAGGUAUCAGAAGUGCGAAUGCUGACAUAAGUAACGAUAAAGCGGGUGAAAAGCCCGCUCGCCGGAAGACCAAGGGUUCCUGUCCAACGUUAAUCGGGGCAGGGUGAGUCGACCCCUAAGGCGAGGCCGAAAGGCGUAGUCGAUGGGAAACAGGUUAAUAUUCCUGUACUUGGUGUUACUGCGAAGGGGGGACGGAGAAGGCUAUGUUAGCCGGGCGACGGUUGUCCCGGUUUAAGCAUGUAGGCGGAGGUUCCAGGUAAAUCCGGUACCUUUUAACGCUGAGGUGUGAUGACGAGGCACUACGGUGCUGAAGUAACAAAUGCCCUGCUUCCAGGAAAAGCCUCUAAGCAUCAGGUAACAUUAAAUCGUACCCCAAACCGACACAGGUGGUCAGGUAGAGAAUACCAAGGCGCUUGAGAGAACUCGGGUGAAGGAACUAGGCAAAAUGGUGCCGUAACUUCGGGAGAAGGCACGCUGGUGUGUAGGUGAAGUCCCUGCGGAUGGAGCUGAGACCAGUCGAAGAUACCAGCUGGCUGCAACUGUUUAUUAAAAACACAGCACUGUGCAAACACGAAAGUGGACGUAUACGGUGUGACGCCUGCCCGGUGCCGGAAGGUUAAUUGAUGGGGUUAUCCGUAAGGAGAAGCUCUUGAUCGAAGCCCCGGUAAACGGCGGCCGUAACUAUAACGGUCCUAAGGUAGCGAAAUUCCUUGUCGGGUAAGUUCCGACCUGCACGAAUGGCGUAAUGAUGGCCAGGCUGUCUCCACCCGAGACUCAGUGAAAUUGAACUCGCUGUGAAGAUGCAGUGUACCCGCGGCAAGACGGAAAGACCCCGUGAACCUUUACUAUAGCUUGACACUGAACAUUGAGCCUUGAUGUGUAGGAUAGGUGGGAGGCUUUGAAGCGUGGACGCCAGUCUGCGUGGAGCCAACCUUGAAAUACCACCCUUUAAUGUUUGAUGUUCUAACGUUGGCCCGUAAUCCGGGUUGCGGACAGUGUCUGGUGGGUAGUUUGACUGGGGCGGUCUCCUCCCAAAGAGUAACGGAGGAGCACGAAGGUUAGCUAAUCCUGGUCGGACAUCAGGAGGUUAGUGCAAUGGCAUAAGCUAGCUUGACUGCGAGCGUGACGGCGCGAGCAGGUGCGAAAGCAGGUCAUAGUGAUCCGGUGGUUCUGAAUGGAAGGGCCAUCGCUCAACGGAUAAAAGGUACUCCGGGGAUAACAGGCUGAUACCGCCCAAGAGUUCAUAUCGACGGCGGUGUUUGGCACCUCGAUGUCGGCUCAUCACAUCCUGGGGCUGAAGUAGGUCCCAAGGGUAUGGCUGUUCGCCAUUUAAAGUGGUACGCGAGCUGGGUUUAGAACGUCGUGAGACAGUUCGGUCCCUAUCUGCCGUGGGCGCUGGAGAAUUGAGGGGGGCUGCUCCUAGUACGAGAGGACCGGAGUGGACGCAUCACUGGUGUUCGGGUUGUCAUGCCAAUGGCACUGCCCGGUAGCUAAAUGCGGAAGAGAUAAGUGCUGAAAGCAUCUAAGCACGAAACUUGCCCCGAGAUGAGUUCUCCCUGAGACUUUAAGUCUCCUGAAGGAACGUUGAAGACGACGACGUUGAUAGGCCGGGUGUGUAAGCGCAGCGAUGCGUUGAGCUAACCGGUACUAAUGAACCGUGAGGCUUAACCUUACAACGCCGAAG